rnacentral:rRNA from 1 species
AGAGUUUGAUCCUGGCUCAGGACGAACGCUGGCGGCGCGCCUAACACAUGCAAGUCGAACGGAGAUACGGAGGAGCUUGCUCCACUGUAUCUGAGUGGCGGACGGGUGAGUAACGCGUGAGUAACCUGCCUCAAAGAGGGGGAUAACGUCUGGAAACGGACGCUAAUACCGCAUAAUAUAUUGUUGUGGCAUCACGGCGAUAUCAAAGGAGGAAUCCGCUUUGAGAUGGACUCGCGUCCAAUUAGCUAGUUGGUGAGGUAACGGCCCGCCAAGGCGACGAUUGGUAGCCGCGG